AGUGAACGCUGGCGGUAGGCCUAACACAUGCAAGUCGAACGGCAGCACAGUAAGAGCUUGCUCUUACGGGUGGCGAGUGGCGGACGGGUGAGGAAUACAUCGGAAUCUACUUUUUCGUGGGGUUAACGUAGGGAAACUUACGCUAAUACCGCAUACGACCUACGGGUGAAAGCAGGGGAUCUUCGGACCUUGCGCGAUUGAAUGAGCCGAUGUCGGAUUAGCUAGUUGGCGGGGUAAAGGCCCACCAAGGCGACGAUCCGUAGCUGGUCUGAGAGGAUGAUCAGCCACACUGGAACUGAGACACGGUCCAGACUCCUACGGGAGGCAGCAGUAGGGAAUAUUGGACAAUGGGCGCAAGCCUGAUCCAGCCAUACCGCGUGGGUGAAGAAGGCCUUCGGGUUGUAAAGCCCUUUUGUUGGGAAAGAAAAGCAGCAGGUUAAUACCCCGCUGUUCUGACGGUACCCAAAGAAUAAGCACCGGCUAACUUCGUG
rnacentral:rRNA from 1 species